CCUGGCCUGCUAAUUAGCACAAGCCUGGUGUUAGCAACAAGACCAGCCAUCAAGAUGGCUACUAUCAUGGACUACUGCAGAGGGUGUCAUUCUGGAAUCGAAAAUCUGCUGUCUUGGAGUCUAUGUGGAUGUAAAUGGAGAGUUGGGGAAUGAAACCACUCUACCAAUGUCUCAAAAUGGUGAGCAGAGGAGUGCUAACAGACAGCCACCUGGCUCAAUAUCGAGGACUGAUGUGAACUGUGGAAAAGAUAACGGACACCCCAGCAGUCCUGCCUGGAAUUUACUGGGAGCAAAUCCCAAACAUAUGGGACAUUUAAAAAGGAAGACACAACAGCACCAGGAGAUUACCGAGGAAUCUGGCUGGCCUGCGUUGUGGGGCACCUCAACACCAAGUGAGCGGCCAUGGACGGUCGUUACAGCGAAGAGGAAGAAAAAAAGAAUGGGCCCUGGAUGUUCUCAAGCAGCAAUCAGAAGUACUGAAGCGAGAUUUCAUUGAUCAGGAGAUCAAUCAAUCGAUCAACAAAGGUGCAAGGGAUGGAUGCUGAGGUUUUUAGAAGCGGACCUCUCCCACUUGUACGAUCUGGAGAUGAACGUUUCUCGAGGCUGCGUCAAUUGAAUAGGCGGGUAGGCAAGUGCACUUUUCCUCAGCAGAAGAUUCCUUCUGUGAAUGAGGUCCACAUCCCAAUGCAUCGCCCGAAUGGUCUCUGGUAUGAAGAACAAGACAAGAAAAGGACGGACGUAUGGAGGCAAGGUCCAAUCCUCAACACCUCCUCAAGUGACUGUAAAUAAGCAUUCUAACAAUAGCACCUUCGUCGGGCAGACUUCAAACUUAAGACACACAUGCUGCCUCACUCCUUUCCUUUUUGCACACGCAUGCUGUGUAUAAGUGAAAGACACAAAGACUGUGAACAGCUGAGAAUGGGACGGUGAAUGAGUGGCUUACAGUUCAUCCUUAUUCUUGAUGCCAGGAAUAGAUUAAGGGUAAGUUUCCGAAAACCAAGAAGUCAAAUGCAUGAACUGUAAAUGAUGUGAGAGGGUCUAAAACUCUCAUACCUUCGCUUAUCAAAAACUGUCAAAUCUAAUAUCCGUCAUAAAUGAAAGCAAAAAUAGUUGAUGAAACAUAGAUUAUUGUGUUGAGUAAAGUUAGGCGACUUGGAGUUUUUGUUAAGAUUUUUCGGGCCUUCUUUUCCUGACACAUUUUCUCAAAUUCCAAAUUGUGUGACUUAAAAGACAUCUGACUUCAGAGUUUCUACUUGUUGCAUUUGCAGAAUGGUUAAAGGUUUGAUUGAGAUGGAAUUCUGUCGGCUCACUUGUCAGAUAAGAUAAGAGAAAUCAUUUUAAAAUUAUUUUUCCACUGACAAUAUGACCUAUAAUUUUUGCAACAACUAAUUAAUUUUGGA